CCUACGGGUGGCAGCAGUGAGGAAUAUUGGUCAAUGGGCGAGAGCCUGAACCAGCCAAGUCGCGUGAGGGAGUACUGCCCUAUGGGUUGUAAACCUCUUUUGUCGGGGAGCAAAAGCCGGACGUGUCCGGCUGUGAGAGUACCCGAAGAAAAAGCAUCGGCUAAAUCCGUGCCAGCAGCCGCGGUAAUACGGGGGAUGCGAGCGUUAUCCGGGUUUAUUGGGUUUAAAGGGUGCGCAGGCGGAUUUUUAAGUCAGCGGUAAAAUCGUGGGGCUCAACCCCAUCCAGCCGUUGAAACUGGGGAUCUAGAGUGUGCGAGAGGUAGGCGGAAUGCGUGGUGUAGCGGUGAAAUGCAUAGAUAUCACGCAGAACCCCGAUUGCGAAGGCAGCAUACCGGUGCACAACUGACGCUCAGGCACGAAAGCGUGGGUAUCGAACAGGAUUAGAUACCCGGGUAGUC
rnacentral:rRNA from 1 species